GACGAACGCUGGCGGCGUGCUUAACACAUGCAAGUCGAACGGUAAGGCCCUUCGGGGUACACGAGUGGCGAACGGGGGAGUAACACGUGGGUGAUCUGCCCUGCACUUCGGGAUAAGCCUGGGAAACUGGGUCUAAUACCGGAUAGGACUCCUGGCUUCAUGGUUGGGGGUGGAAAGCUAUUGCGGGGUGGGAUGGGCCCGCGGCCUAUCAGCUUGUUGGUGGGGUAAUGGCCUACCAAGGCGACGACGGGUAGCCGGCCUGAGAGGGUGACCGGUCACACUGGGACUGAGAUACGGCCCAGAAUCCUACGGGAGGCAGCAGUGGGGAAUAUUGCACAAUGGGCGCAAGCCUGAUGCAGCGACGCCGCGUAAGGGAUGACGGCCUUCGGGUUGUAAACCUCUUUCAGCUAUGACGAAGCGCAAGUGACGGUAGUAGCAGAAGAAGGACCGGCCAACUACGUGCCAGCAGCCGCCGCCG
rnacentral:rRNA from 1 species